AACAAGAUUGUAUAUAUCAAAUAUUGCUAAUCAAGUGCUUGAGUAGACAUCAUAAACAAGUCAUGCUAAACAAAUUAUGCUUGCUUAACAUGCAUGUGUAGGGUGGCGCACUUCCGCUGAUUAGGCAAUCUCUACACAGAAAUGAAUGCAGUUAUGUGGACCAAUCAAGCAACGAUAAAAGCAUAUGCGGCCGCAUAUAGGGUAUAUCUAACACUUUUACAACAGUACUAUGAGUCUUCAAAAAACUGAAUAUCAUUAUGGUUUCUAGCUGUAUUAAAGUUUAAUCUUAUCUACAAUAAUAUAAUCUAUCAUCGAAAACGGCUUAGAAGAACAGGAGCCGUCGCUGCUCCUAAUAGACACAAGACUACUCUCUCUCUCUCUCUUCUCUCUCUCUCUCUCUCUCUCUCUCUCUCUGCUUAUAUAUAUAUAUAUAUAUAUUAUAAUAUAUUAUAUGAUAGAUGACUCUUAAAUGAAGAAAAAAGAUAAAUCCACAGAGACCAAACAAUUAAAAUAACCAAAAUUCAAUAGUCACAAAUAAUUGACAACCAGACAAAAUCAUCAAUAAAAUAAUUUUAAAAUUUAUACCAAAGAUAAACUAUCACACAUAUUAAAGUUUCAAGUAACUUAUUUAAUGAAAGUAUAUAUCAAUUAUUUCAAUAUAAAGAGUACCUUAUUUAAUGAAAAUAUGUUCCAAAAAAAUAAAUAAUCAAAAAUAGUCAACAAGAUUGUAUAUAUCAAAUUUGCUAAUCAAGUGCUUGAGUAGACAUCAUAAACAAAGUCAUGCAAACAAACUUAUGCUUGCUUAACAUGCAUGUGUAGGUGGCGCACUUCCGUCCGAUUAGCAAUCUCUACACCAGAAAAUGAAUGCAGUUAUGUGGACCAAUCAAGCAACGAUAAAAGAUAUGCGGCGCAUAUAAUGAGGAUAUCUAACACUUUUUACAACAGUACCUAUGAGUCUUCAAAAACUGAAUAUCAUUAUGGUCUUCUAGCUGUUUAAAGUUCGAAUCUUAUCUACAAUAAUAUAAUUAUCAUCGAAACGGCUUAGAAGCACGGAGGCCUCCGUGCUCUAAUAGUACACAGACCUACUCUCCUUCUCUCUCUCCUCUCUCUCUUAUAUUACUAAUAUAUAUAUGAAGAUGAUAUUUAUAUAUAUAUAUAUAUAUGAAGAUGACUCUUAAAUGAAGAAUAAAAAGAUAAAUCCACAGAGACCAAACAAUUAAACAUAAUACCAAAAUUCAAUAGUCACAAUAAUUGACAACCAGAACAAAAUCAUCAAUAAAAUAUAUUUUAAAAUUUAUACCAAGAAUAAACUAUCACACAUAUUAAAGUUUCAAGUAAUUAUUUAAUGAAGUAUAUAUUCAAAUUAUUUCAAUAUAAAGAGUACCUAUUUAAUGAAAUAUGUCCAAAAAAUAAAAUAAUCAAAAAUAGUCAACAAGAUGUAUAUAUCAAAUUUCUAAUCAAGUGCUUGAGUAGACAUCAUAAACAAGUCAUGCCUAAACAAACUUAUGCUUGCUUAAACAUGCAUGUUGUAGGUGCGCACUUCGUCCGAUUAGCAAUCUCUACACCAGAAAUGAAUGCAGUUAUGUGGACCAAUCAAGCAACGAUAAAAGCAUAUGCGGCCGCAUAUAAGGGUAUAUCUAACACUUUUUACAACAGUACCUAUGAGUCUCAAAAACUGAAUAUCAUUAUGGUCUUCUAGCUGUAUUAAUAUCGAAUCUUAUCUACAAUAAUAUAAUCUAUCAUCGAAAACGGUUAGAAGCACGGAGGCCUCCGUGCUCCUAAUAGUACACAAGACCUACUCUCGUCUCUCCUCUCUCUCUCAUCUCUCUCUCAUCUUCUCUCUCUAUAUUAUAUAUAUAUAUGAAGAUGACUCUUAAAUGAAGAAUAAAAAGAUAAAUCCACAGAGACCAAACAAUUAAACAUAACCAAAAUUCAAUAGUCACAAAUAAUUGACAACCAGACAAAAUCAUCAAUAAAAUAUAUUUUAAAAUUUAUACCCAAAGAUAAACUAUCACACAUAUUAAAGUUUCAAGUAACUUAUUUAAUGAAAGUAUAUAUCAAAUUAUUUCAAAUAUAAAGAGUACCUUAUUUAAUGAAAAUAUGUCCAAAAAAAAUAAAUAAUCAAAAUAGUCAACAAGAUUGUAUAUAUCAAAUUUGCUAAUCAAGUGCUUGAGUAGACAUCAUAAACAAGUCAUGCUAAACAAACUUAUGCUUGCUUAACAUGCAUGUGUAGGUGGCGCACUUCCGUCUGAUUAGGCAAUCUCUACACCAGAAAUGAAUGCAGUUAUGUGGACCAAUCAAGCAACGAUAAAAGCAUAUGCGGCCGCAUAUAAGGGUAUAUCUAACACUUUUUACAACAGUACCUAUGAGUCUUCAAAAACUGAA
rnacentral:lncRNA from 1 species